rnacentral:rRNA from 1 species
CCUACGGGUGGCUGCAGUGAGGAAUAUUGGUCAAUGGACUCACGUCUGAACCAGCCAUGCCGCGUGCAGGAAGACGGCUCUAUGGGUUGUAAACUGCUUUUGUCCGAGGGUAAACGCAGCUACGCGUAUCUGUCUGAAAGUAUCGUACGAAUAAGGCUCGGCUAAAUCCGUUCCCGCAGCCGGCGGAAUACGGAGGAUUGCAGCGUUUUCCGGAUUUAUUGGGUUUAAAGGGUGCGUAGGCGGUCGGACAAGUUCGAGGGGAAAUCCCGGGGCUCAACUUCGGAAUUGCCUCUGAUACUGUUCGGCUAGAGAGGGGGUGCGGUAGGCGGAAUGUAUGGUGUAGCGGUGAAAUGCAUAGAGAUCAUACAGAACACCGAUUGCGAAGGCAGUACACUGGAGUGCAACUGACACUGAGGCUCGAAAGUGUGGGUAUCAAACAGGAUUAGAUACCCUGGUAGUC